rnacentral:rRNA from 1 species
GUGAAAUGCGUAGAUAUCGGGAGGAACAUCUGUGGCGAAGGCGACUACCUGGACCAGCACUGACACUGAGGCGCGAAAGCGUGGGGAGCAAACAGGAUUAGAUACCCUGGUAGUCCACGCCCUAAACGAUGCGAACUGGAUGUUGGGAGCAUCUUGGCUCGUCUUAUCGAAGCUAACGCGUUAAUUUCGCCGCCUGGGAAGUACGGUCGCAAGACUGAAACUCAAAGGAAUUGACGGGGGCCCGCACAACCGGUGAAGUAUGUGGUUUAAUUCAAUGCAACGCGAAGACCCUUACCUGGCCUU